rnacentral:rRNA from 1 species
GGCGAGUGAAGCGGCAAAAGCUCAAAUUUGAAAUCUGGUACCUUUGGUGCCCGAGUUGUAAUUUGGAGAGUACCACUUUGGGACUGUACUUUGCCUAUGUUCCUUGGAACAGGACGUCAUGGAGGGUGAGAAUCCCGUGUGGCGAGGGUGUCAGUUCUUUGUAAAGGGUGCUCGAAGAGUCGAGUUGUUUGGGAAUGCAGCUCUAAGUGGGUGGUAAAUUCCAUCUAAAGCUAAAUACAGGCGAGAGACCGAUAGCGAACAAGUACAGUGAUGGAAAGAUGAAAAGAACUUUGAAAAGAGAGUGAAAAAGUACGUGAAAUUGUUGAAAGGGAAGGGCAUUUGAUCAGACAUGGUGUUUUGCGCCCCUUGCCUCUCGUGGGCUUGGGACUCUCGCAGCUCACUGGGCCAGCAUCGGUUUUGGCGGCCGGAAAAAACCUAGGGAAUGUGGCUCUGCGCCUCGGUGUAGAGUGUUAUAGCCCUGGGGAAUACGGCCAGCCGGGACCGAGGACUGCGAUACUUGUUAUCUAGGAUGCUGGCAUAAUGGUUAUAUGCCGCCCGUC